rnacentral:rRNA from 1 species
AUCGAACGCUGGCGGCAGGCUUAACACAUGCAAGUCGAGCGAGCGGCGGACGGGUGAGUAAUGUCUGGGAAACUGCCUGAUGGAGGGGGAUGACUACUGGAAACGGUAGCUAAUACCGCAUACUAUCAGAUGUGCCCAGGUGGGAUUAGCUAGUAGGUGGGGUAAUGGCUCACCUAGGCGACGAUCCCUAGCUGGUCUGAGAGGAUGACCAGCCACACUGGAACUGGGAAACGGUCCGGACUCCUACGGAAGGCAGCGGUGGGGAACAUUGCACAAUGGGCGAAAGCCUGAUGCAGCCAUGCCGCGUGUGUGAAGAAGGCCUUCGGGUUGUAAAGCACUUUCAGCGAGGAGGCGUUACUCGCAGAAGAAGCACCGGCUAACUCCGUGCCAGCAGCCGCGGUAAUUC